UCAAACUUGGUCAUUUAGAGGAAGUAAAAGUCGUAACAAGGUUUCCGUAGGUGAACCUGCGGAAGGAUCAUUAUUGAACUAUGUUUCUGAAUGGGUUGUAGCUGGCUCUUCUUUGGGGAGCAUGUGCACGCCUGUUUAGAUCUCAUAUUCAUCCACCUGUGCACCUAUUGUAGUCUUUGGUUGUCGGGAAUCGAGGAAGUGGUCAGUGUUUAUCAGCAUAUCUGCUGGAUUGUGAGGACUUGCAGUGUGAGAGCUCUGCUGUCUUUGACUUGGCCACAGAAUUGAUUUCUUGCUCCGGAGUCUAUGUUAUUCAUUACACUCUGUAGUAUGUCAUUGAAUGUCUUUACAUGGGCUUCUAUGCCUGUGAAAAUCACUAUACAACUUUCAGCAACGGAUCUCUUGGCUCUCGCAUCGAUGAAGAACGCAGC
rnacentral:misc_RNA from 1 species